AUUGAACGCUGGCGGCAUGCCUAACACAUGCAAGUCGAACGAGUGGCGGACGGGUGAGUAAUGCUUGGGAAUCUAGCUUAUGGAGGGGGAUAACUACGGGAAACUGUAGCUAAUACCGCGUACCAUAGGAUGAGCCCACGUGGGAUUAGGUAGUUGGUGAGGUAAAGGCUCACCAAGCCGACGAUCUCUAGCUGGUCUGAGAGGAUGACCAGCCACACGGGGACUGAGACACGGCCCAGACUCCUACGGGAGGCAGCAGUGGGGAAUAUUGCGCAAUGGGGGCAACCUGACGCAGCAAGGCCGCGUGAAUGAAGAAGGCCUUCGGGUUGUAAAGUUCUGUCGGUAGCGAGGCGUUAACUACAGAAGAAGCACCGGCUAACUCCGUGCCAGCAGCCGCGGUAAUAC
rnacentral:rRNA from 1 species